GCGGGUGUAACUCAGUGGUAGAGUGUCACCUUGCCAAGGUGAAAGUCGCGAGU
rnacentral:tRNA from 1 species